rnacentral:rRNA from 1 species
CUGGCGGCACGCUUAACACAUGCAAGUCGAACGGAGUUUAGAGAGCUUGCUUUUAAACUUAGUGGCGGACGGGUGAGUAACACGUGAGCAAUCUGCCUUUCAGAGGGGGAUAGCAGUUGGAAACGACUGAUAAUACCGCAUAAUAUAGUAGGAUCGCAUGAUUUAACUAUCAAAGAUUUAUCGCUGAAAGAUGAGCUCGCGUCUGAUUAGAUAGUUGGUGAGGUAACGGCUCACCAAGUCGACGAUCAGUAGCCGGACUGAGAGGUUGAACGGCCACAUUGGGACUGAGACACGGCCCAGACUCCUACGGGAGGCAGCAGUGGGGAAUAUUGCACAAUGGGCGCAAGCCUGAUGCCAGCGAUGCCGCGUGAGGGAAGAAGGUUUUAGGAUUGUAAACCUCUGUCUUCAGGGACGAUAAUGACGGUACCUGAGGAGGAAGCUCCGGCUAACCACGUGCCAGCCGCAGC